rnacentral:lncRNA from 10 species
UCGAACUCUUGACCUCAGUUGAUCCACCCGCUUCAGCCUCCCAAAGUGCUGGGAUUACAGGCAUGAGCCACCACACCACUCCCUGGCUAAUUUUUAAAAAUUUUUUGUAGACAAGGGUUUCACUUUGUUGCCCAGGCUGGUCUCUAACUCCUGGCCUCAAAUGAUCCUCCCACCUCAGCCUCCCAAAGAGCUGGGAUUACAGGCAUGAGCCACAGUGCCCAGGUGAUACCCCUAUCAUUUCAUCUCAACCAUUUAGCUGCACCCAUCCUCUAGCUCCACGCCUACCAGAUUGUCCAUAAAAACCCUAACCUGCAAGCCUCUGGGGAGACUGAUUUGAGUAGGAACUCCAUCUCCCACGGGGCUGGACUCACAUUAAUUAAACUCUUUCUUUACUGCAAUACCGCAGUCAGUCUCAGUGACCUGAUGUCAUCUAUGCGGCAGGCAGGAAGAGCCCAUCAGGGAAUCAUAGUCUUGCUGUAAACCUGGGGAGAAAGUGACGGAUCAGAGGGAAGCUUCUUUGUACUUCUGAGUCAGUCAA